rnacentral:misc_RNA from 1 species
GAUGAAGAACGCAGCGAAAUGCGAUAAGUAAUGUGAAUUGCAGAAUUCAGUGAAUCAUCGAAUCUUUGAACGCACAUUGCGCCCGCCAGUAUUCUGGCGGGCAUGCCUGUCCGAGCGUCAUUUCAACCCUCGCGCCCAUCUGGGCUGCGGUGUUGGGGACCGGCUUGCCCCGCCGGGGCGCGCCGCCCCCCAAAUUCAGUGGCGGUCUCGCUGCAGCCUCCCUUGCGUAGUAGCACACCUCGCACCGGAGCGCAGCGCGGCCACGCCGUAAAACCCCCGACCCCCAUGAGUUUGACCUCGGAUCAGGUAGGAAUACCCGCUGAACUUAAGCAUAUCAAUAAGCGGAGGA